rnacentral:lncRNA from 1 species
UCCUUACUCCAUAGCCAGCAGUACAAGUGUAAUUCUUUCAUAAACUAAGAACUAUUAUUUUGCAAUGGCCUUCUGAUAAUGGAUGUUUGUUGCUCAUUUUAAAUGUACUUACACUCCCGCCAAUAACUUAUCUUCCUUCCUUGCAGAUUCCUGCAGAAGAAUCAAAGUGCAUUUUUCCUGUCCAUGUACCAUUCUGCGGAAGGUUUUGAUGUGGCUGACAAGAAACAGGAUAACUGAGUUGGAACUUUUCUUCUCUAGUGUACAUUCUAUAUCACACCUACUAUGUAUAUUCUCUGUUCUCCAAUGCAGAACUAUGUUGUAUUACCAGGGAUGUUACUAGUAAAUUUUGCUGCAUAGUAGCUCGCACAUGUUUUCCUACUUAUUGCCUGUGCAGUGGCUAUUCCAGUGUUCUGGUUGUCCAGCUAAAUCUUUUCUCUUGAAAACAGGUACUUAUGUACCCUACUAACUUGUGUUACAUAUGGGAAAGAAAUUUGCUCUGCAAUAACUAAUAGGAGGUGUCGACAAUGUAAGGUGCAUUGAGUUGUCUUUACAUAAGACGGUAUUUCCUAUUUCAUGGCAUGACAUCUUACGCUCAUCCCUUUAUUCCGUAAAUUAUGUAUUAAGCUUAUAUUAAAUAAUCUAUCUACUUUUACCAUAUCAAAUAGUCUCGAAGUGUAAUUACUUGUAAAAGGUAAAUGCUGCACGAUAGAUUUUUUCUACAAGAUGAUUUUUUUUCCUUUUUGGUGAUGUGGACUGCUAGAUUGGAAAGUAGGUUGAUAAUGAUGCCCAUGAAGUUGUCAUAAAGAUGGCACGAUUGGACACAACGAAACCUAUUUUGCAGAAUGGGCUAGAAGAGUCAUUCAUCAAGUUGGGUUAAGCAAGC